UACAAAAAAUAAAACUGAUGCAUUUUUGCAACAGUGGGUUUUACAGGGUUAAAUAACUGUACAAGAGUUAGGAAAUAUAUUUUUUCAAAAGAAAAAAUGUUAAACAAAAAACAUUUUUCUCCUGAUUAAGUUAUUGACGGUGAUUCAAUGUUACAUAUAUUAACAGCAUCAAACAGUUUUAGAGUUUACAGAUUUUUACCGUCAUGGUUUGACAAUUUUUCCACCGUUUUUUUUAAAAAUUUUUUUUAACAAUGUAUCGUUUGAGCGUGACGGUAUUUAGUGCUUUGUGCUUUUCAUCGCCCAAUAAAAGUGACUCAAUACCGCCUCCUCCUGGCCGGGCAGACAAGCUGCACAAGGAGCACAGUGCUGCUCUGCGUUCACCUGUCAUAUCAGCGCAACGGUGUGUUCGCGCAUGCGCAGUCAGCUUCCCCAUAUAAAAUCAUUUACGUCAAAAAGCAGAUCGCUCCGCCGCCAUCUUAUGCUACUGUGCUAUGCUAAUGCUAUGCUAAUGCUCUCCGUAGAACCAGAGAAUUGAUGCUUCGUGCUCAAGCUAGCUGGCGGGCUAACCGGCAGGGUGAGAGGUUAAAACUAUUCUCACGUCUUUGUUUUGAGGAGAAAACGACGGCAGAACAACACCUGAGCUACCGGAGCUUCAGCAACGGAACGGACAGAAAAUAGUUUGUGUUUUUCAAAGCGAAUGGGACAAAAUGAAGGAUGUGCUACACUGAACUGGCAACACUGACCAGGCCUGGAAUAAUGCUGGAUAUUAUGAUUUGAGCAGCUUGCCCUGUGCCAGAGCCAAAUGAAAUUGAAUGUUCAUCAAACCGGGGAAAUGACAUUGAACUGCUGCACCUGCUAGCCAGCUAGGAUGCUAAUCUAGCCUCCCACUUGGACGUCAUCUUCAAAUAAAACUCAGCUGUCCCGUUUACCUUCCUGGACGGAGCCAUGCUGUUGUUGUCUGUUCUGCCUGCAGGAGGCGCUGCUUCAGGGACCGAGUGGAUCUGAGCGUCUGCACCUGAAACGGAACAAAACUUGGAGGCUCAAUCUGUAGAAAACCAACCAAACAUGAACAAACUUCCCCCUGGACAACUUCAGAAUCAGCUGAUUAUUUAGCUGCAGUAAUUUUAGGAGGCUCUUCAUCAAACAAACCAGAUUUUGUGUCUAUUUUUAUUUCACACGGUUGUGGUGAAACAAUACAAACAAUUUCUCUUUUAGCAUAUUAUCAUCCUUUAUGUAAUUUUUUUUCUGUCGCUAUACCAGUAAUCUGGGCACUUUCUGCUGCAUUUACAGAAACAUUUUACCCCUUAACUUGUCUGUUUUCAGGUUCUCUGUAAUAUCUUUUUAGUUUUUGUGUCAUGUUGUGCGUUGUAACUAUGGCAACCGCUCCAUAAAACCUCACUUCAUCUGUUGCUCACCGUUCUCUCGAUAGUGCCGCUGCAGCUUUUCAUCCAGUAUUUUACAGAUGCCGUCUCCAAAGUUCUGCAGGAUCUUUGCCUCUUUGGCGUUUCGCAGUGGCAGCGGAUAUUUAUUCAAAGAGUUGAUGGCCUGCAAAAAGACAGAAACACACAAAUAAAGGUAAAUAAUCAGCUUUUCUGGCGACUUCUUACAUAUUUUUCCUUUUCUGAUUGUAUUUUAAAAACAAAGACAAAUUUUAACUAUUUUCUACAGUUUUGAGUCAUUUUGUCAAUGUUGGAGUCUUUUUAAACAAAUUUAAAGUCAUUUUAGACGAGCUUCAAAAAGUUCUGGAUCAUUUUUGAGUCAGUUUGGAUGAUUUUUCACUAAUCUUCGUAAAUUUUGGAGUCAUUUUGGCAGUUUUGCAUCUACUCCAGGUGUCACAGUCUACAGACUAAAUCUGAUUUUGUUAAUUUUCUGCAUAACCAACUGGGCAUCAGUAUUAUGGGAUGUAUCGUAGUUUGAACAGUAAAACUGCAGCAGUUUAAUGUCUAUGACAUAGAGUCAUAGAAACUAGUGUUUCUGUCCUGUAGAAAUUUUAAUUUUAGGACUAAUUUUCAACAUUUUUGAAUCAUUUUUGCGGAAUUUUAAGGCAUUUUGGACACGGAUGUGUUUCUGUUUUCUGACAAUUCCCCAGAGAAAACUUUAGACAGUGCAUUGUGGGUAAACUUUCCAGGCUCAUAUCAGCAUGUGUGAUAGGUGGUUGGUCAGAACAAGUUCUAGACAAUGAAAGGAGCAUUUUUACACACAGAAGAUACCAGAAUCAUCUAAUAGACAUGAUUCACUUUCUCUGGUUUUGAGUCACUUUAGAGACGUUUUUGUCUUUUUAGACCAGAAUUGGGUCAUUUUGGACACAUUUAGUUGAGGGAAAACUUCUAAUAAUUUUCCAAUAUGUUUAUUUUCUUGAAGACUCCUCUUCACUUGAGUCAUUUUAAAGAACUUUUUGAUAAUUUCGGACACAUUUUUAAUCGGGCUGUCAAAAUUAAUGCAUAUUAAUCCAUCAUCAUGAUUAAUCUGAUAAAAAGUUAACGCAGUGUAACUAGUGGCACCUGGUGGUACUCGGCUGUCUGCCUCUGAUUGGGGCAGGCAAUGAUAAAAUUAAGUAGGCAGGUGCUGAUGAUUGUCUGUGCGAGGCCAGAGAGACGCGAGGCGUCACCGGUGAUUUGUGGUAAGAUGCCCGUUAGUUUAUCUUAUAGAGGUAGUUUCUCUACAAACCUUUAGAUGUGCCUUUUCUAAUGGUGUUUUUGAAUGUUGCAGUGGGACCACACAGUUUUAUGAGGUGAGGGAAUUCCUACUGCGUGCUUUUAAAGGAUGUUUAUUAAAAGGUGUUUUUAUUCUGCUUUGGAUAUGUUUAUUUUUCAUUUAAUCAAAUUGCAUUUUUAUUGUUUGUGCUUUACAGUGACGGUCCAUCUUAGUUGCACUGUCUCUUGCUGUCCUUUUUUGGGUUUUGUUUGUAGGUCUUAUUAAUUUGAGUUCAUCCACUCAGCCUUGCAGGACCCAUGGAUGAACAGACCUGGGUGCAUCAUGUGACAGCGGACUAACUCUAUUUUAAUUGUUUUGGUUUGUGUUAUUCACUUCCCUAUUUAGAGCCGCUGCAAGUAAUAAUCAGCCUUGAUCUCGGUAACUUUGAGACCAGAUGCAAGUGUGAAUUGAAUGUAGUGCUGUUUGAUAUGCAGUGGUAUUUUCAGAGUGAAGUGAUUUUUAUUUUUUACCUUAGGUUCAUCGGGCUCAUGUGUAAUCAGUCUCAAUGGUAUCGAUUAGACCCUGUUCAGAUAAAUGGGAUUGUGACUUUAUGAUCUUUUGUACUGUCAACAAUAAAUAUUAAUAUUAAUCAUCUAUA